AUUGAACGCUGGCGGCAGGCUUAACACAUGCAAGUCGAGCGGGCGAGGUUGCUUCGGUAACUGAGCUAGCGGCGGACGGGUGAGUAAUGCUUAGGAAUCUGCCUAUUAGUGGGGGACAACAUUCCGAAAGGAAUGCUAAUACCGCAUACGCCCUACGGGGGAAAGCAGGGGAUCUUCGGACCUUGCGCUAAUAGAUGAGCCUAAGUCAGAUUAGCUAGUUGGUGGGGUAAAGGCCUACCAAGGCGACGAUCUGUAGCGGGUCUGAGAGGACGAUCCGCCACACUGGGACUGAGACACGGCCCAG
rnacentral:rRNA from 1 species